AACGAGGCAUGUGCACGCUCUUCUGUCUUUCAUAACUCACCUGUGCACCUAAUGUAGGAUGCUCCUCCUUCGGGAGGGGGGACCUAUGUCUUCAUACGCCUCUUCGUGUAGAAAGUCUUAGAAUGUUUACUAUCAGAGAGUCGCGACUUCUAGGAGACGCGAAUCUCUGAGAUAAAAGUUAAUUACAACUUUCAGCAAUGGAUCUCUUGGCUCUCGCAUCGAUGAAGAACGCAGCGAAAAGCGAUAUGUAAUGUGAAUUGCAGAUCUACAGUGAAUCAUCGAAUCUUUGAACGCACCUUGCGCUCCUCGGUGUUCCGAGGAGCAUGCCUGUUUGAGUGUCAGUAAAUUCUCAACCCCUCUCGAUUUUUUUCGAGGGGGAGUUUGGAKGGUGGGGGCUGCCGGAGACUAGGACUCGUCCUUGACUCGGGCUCUCCUUAAAUGCAUUGGCUUGCGGUCGACUUUCGACUUUGCGCGACAAGGCUUUCGGCGUGAUAAUGAUCGCCGUUCGCUGAAGCGCAUGAACGAAGGUUCCGUGCCUCUAAUACCGU
rnacentral:rRNA from 1 species